CCUGGGCUUGAGCAAUCCUUCUGUCUCAGCCUCCCAAGUGUAGCUGGGACUACAGGCACACGCCACCAUGCCCAGCUAAUUUUUUUUUUUUAAUGUAGAGAUAAGAGUCUCACUAUGUUGCCCAGGUUGAUCUCAAACUCCUGGUCUCAAGAGAUCCUCCCACCUCAGCCUCCCAGAGUCAGAACCCAGAUCUUGGAGCUCUUCUUUUCUUCAUCUAUACCACUGCUUCCUUGCAGAUACCAGGUUUCGCCAUGUUGACCAGGCUGGUCUCAAACUCCCAACCUCAAGUGAUCCACCUGCCUUGGCCUCCCAAAGUGCUGGGAUUACAGGUGUGAGCCACCAUGCCCGGCCUAAAAGAUAAGAGAUCAAGACAUAUACAAAUUAGUCUUUGAAAGAUCUUUCACCUUGUUCAAAGUUAAGAUCCUGUGAACACCAGAAUUGUUCCGCGGCCUCUUCACUAUUGAUUGCAACAGUAUCAUUUACCUGAAGCUACACAGUGACCACAAAAACCAUGUCCAGGACACCAAAUUUCUACUGCGAACUCUAGGGUGAGACACUAAAUUCCUCACGAGCCUUUCUCUGCGAGUCCAAAAUUCAGCCACAUUUCCUAAGAGGCACCUGUACUUGUCUAUUUCAAUGCAGCCAGAAGCUGACGACGGCCCAGGAACCAGGACUGCUUUCAGGAGGCGCUCAGAAGGGCAGCAAAGUACCCUCUCAACAUUAGUAAAAUGAAACAAAAGUGUCAGCCUUGGCUUCGCACACACUUACCCGUUCAUGGGGCAUGCUGGAGGCAGACGUUCUCUAUCAGGCAAGAGUUCUCAGUCAGAAUUAAGGUCUGCCAGGCAGAGGGCCACGUCUGGUUUACUUCUGUUUUCUCACUGUUGCUGGUCUUCCCCGAUUCCUGCCUCCCUCUCCAUGUUCUGGGAUGAGACUUUGACUGGUUUCUCAAGGGGCUAACUUUUGGUUCUCUUCUGGGCGUUUCUGCCCAGAGUCCCCUGGUUUGGACAGCAGCGAUCGUCUGUAGGACACACACAGUGAAUCCAGCCACCGGAUGAGGAAUUCUGCUAAUUGUUUAAGCCUGCACUAGUGUCUGGCCACCAGUUGGCAGACACAACUCAUGGCUGCCUACCAGGCCUAGGUUAACACAGCUGGAGCCAGAUGACAGGCUCUCAAAGAUAUUCCUCUCAUGGCCACAUCUGGCUCUUGGCGGUUCCCACUGCAGCUGAACUGAUUCUGUUUGGUUGUUCUGGGCAAAAGUUUAGGCAACAGAUAAGUCGUAUUAAUUUCAGUUUAUGACAAAAAUAUCAGAACAUAUACUUCAUGAAGGCAGGGAUUUUAUCUGAUUUGCAUCCCCCUCCCACUUUUUUUUGUUUGUUUGUUUUUUGUUUUUGAGACAUGGUCUCACUCUGUUGCCCAAGCUGGAGUGCAGUGCAGUGGCACGAUCAUGACUCACUGCAGCCUGGAACUAACUACUAGACUCAAGCGAUUCUCCCACCUCAGCCUCCUGAGUAGCUGGGUCUAGAGGCACGUGCCACCAUGCCUUGCUAGUUUUUUCAAUUUUUUGUAGGGACAAGGUCUCACUAUGUUGCCCAGGCUGGUGUCGAAUUCCUGGGUUCAAGUGAUCAUCCUGCCUUUGCCUCCCAAAGUGCUGGGAUUACAGGCAUGAGCCACUGUGCAGGCCUCUUGCUUGCUGUAUCCCAGUACAGAGCAGCGGCUACGCAGGGUAGGUGUUCAGUAAAUACAGAAUGAGUGAAUAACGCUAAUCAGUGUAUGAGUGGAACAAAAACAUUCCUGUAUCUUACUCCAGCUACUCUGUUCCUACUGUUGUACGUAAAAUGGCUAGCAUGCUGGUGCACACAGAGAAGUCCUUGAAUGGCUCUACAGCUAGAUUUUAUUAUGGACACGCUCAUCUCAAGAAUGAACCCAUGUACAUUGUCAGUAUAGCUGGAAAGACCUCCAACAAUCCUUCCCUUCAAAUUACCCAGUCUCCCAGAAUUACCCACAUCCCGACUUUAUUAGUCCUUAAACUGAGAAACUUGGCAGCUCUGUGCCCACAGGGCCUGAGAGUGAUCUCAAAGUAGAAACUUACCUUUUGGCCACCACCAAAGUGGGAAAUGAUGAGGCAACUUUUCCUGGCACCUUUUCAUCCCAUUUCCUUUCCCAUGCCUCUCUUCCUAAAUUCCCUGAUAUCUGCAGAUCCCAGCUCCCUUCUACACUCAACUAUGACCCAAGGCGA